ensembl:lncRNA
AUGAUGGAACAGGAUGAAUCAAUAGACUUUAAAACCCUGAAGGCACGGUUCCAGGGUGGAGAUGGUCUGAAGAUUCAGACUAAACCUGCUGUCCCAGAGAAACCCAAAACCAUCCCUCCAUCGACAAAAAUCAGCAAUCCCUUCAUCUCAUCCAUCAAUGCUGCCGUGCAAAAAAGGAUGUUUCAAGAACCACGUGUAGUCUUCAAACAAGACAAAAAUCUAAAUUGCCAGCUCUCUCCACCUAUAGGAUUAAAGACCAAAGAGGACCAACCCAUCAAUAAUGGUGAACUGCUAGAUAAUAAACAGAAGAAGGAGGUCAACACUGUUAAGCAGAAUCUAAAAGACAAGAAUCUUCCGCUGGUUCUGCCUGUAGCUCCAGAGCCUGAUUCCAGCCCACGUACGCCUAUAUCCACUUCACCAUUCAAAGUGACGGCAUCCCCAAAAAAAUUAUUUACCCCUCCAAAAACUAGCAAAGAUGAAUAUGAGAAAACAGACUCUGUCAAAGAGUCUCUGAAGGACAGGAAUUUUCCAAUGGUUCUGCCAGUGGCUCAGAAAAAAGCUGAAAGCCCAGAACCUGAACCAAGCCCACUUACAACCGUGUCCAUUCCACUAGCCAAAGGGUUCACAACCAAGAGUUCUGUAUUUACUCCUCAAAAAAGUCACCAAGAUGAGAAUGAGAAGGCAGACACAGUAAAAGAGGUCAUCAUUGCCGAAAAGUCUCUGAAAGAUAGCAAUAUUCCACUGGUUGUGCCAGUCGCUCCAAUAAAAGAUGAUACCCCAGAGCCUGUGCCCAGCCCAUAUACACCUCAGAAUUCCACACCCAAGAAUGCUGUGUUUACAACUCAAAUAACUAGCAAAGAUGAGAUUGAGGAGGCAGAAACAGUGGAAAGACCAACAGUGGCUAGUCAUACCCCUGCUCCAAGUCACCCAGCUCCUGCUGGGCCAUCUCUAAUAGCUAAUCCCGCUACUCAAAGUGUUCCUGUUGACCCCAAGGCUGUUGUAACUACUCAGACUUCAACUGGAACACCCACUGUCUCCAACAUUCCUGUCCCAAGUAUUCCAGCCUCAAUCUGUUCAACCUCUGCAAACCCUGAGCCAAAGAUUCCCGAGCCAAAGAUUCUUGAACCAGCCAUACCAACACCAAUCAUUCCCUCUCAAGCUGUUCCUAAAUCAAAGCCAGAAAGCUCUAUUUCAUCUCUUCCUGACACUGAACCUCUUAAACCAAAUAUACAGAUCCUCAGUUUAUCAGAAGUAUUUCCUCCCCCUGAAGAAAGUCCACCUCCAGAAUUCACUGAUAUACCGCCCCCUGUUUUUGAUGAAGACUUCCCAGAUGGAGACUUUUCUGAGGAAGCUAUACCCAUUCCAGCAAUAGGUACAUUUCCCCCCCCAGUUCCCGCGAGUCCAGUUAUCUCCAGGUCCCCUGCCCCAUCCACCCCUCCAGUAGUAUCUCCAGAGCCCUUGGUGAAUCCUUUAGAAUAUACACCUGGUCCAGUCUCAAGCCCCCCUCCAGAAGUUCAUACUCCUACUGCACCUAUAGAGGUGUUACUGGAGAAUGCGAAACCUCUGACUGAAGAGGCAGACCUAGAGAGGUCUAAGGAAGACCAGUCCUCAACCAAGCCACUUUCAGCCCUCUCAGCCUUGGUGAGAGCAGAGGAGAUGGCCUCUGUAAAAAGAUCACCACCUGAUAGCUCUGUAUUUGACCUUCUGGAAAGGGCCAAGAGAAAGUCCACAGUGAGUCCACUGGCUACCACACCUGAAUAUACAUCUAUACCUGAAAAUACAAGCCUAGUUGAUACAGCUACACCUGAGAUACAUCUGCCUGAAACACUCACACCCCUGCCUGAGACUACCAUAACUGAGGUGACCCAACUUGACCUAGAUCCACCUGAAAAAGCCUCACCACAGCUUGCCCCAACUUCAGAAACAUUGCCUGAGGAAGUCCCACCUAUAUCAGAAGUGUCUGAUAUCCCUAAACUCCCUCCAGUUGACUAUGUGGAUCUUACUCUGUUACCACCUAACACCCACCUACCUGAAACUGCCAAGGUUAAUGACUUUGAUCAAAAUGUAGUUACAGUGGUCAAACCAGUGAAUCCUCCUCCCCCACCGCCCAGAAGGGCUCUCCCAGACACUCCCAUUGUGGAUCCCCCACUUGAGCAACCAAUGCUGUCUCCUGCCAGAGACUUCCAGAUGCCCUCAACACCUUCUGAACCUCUAAAAACACAUGAAGUGUCACCAUAUGACAACUCAUUUGAGAAUUAUGAAGAUGUUGAGGAACCUAGGGCUGCAGCACUUCCAUCCUUUAGGCCUCCAUCAGUACCAUCAUCAGCUUCUAGCACCAACAGGGCGGUUUCAGUUCAGGAGGAAGCCUUCCUGAAUCAGUUGAGCCUAAGAAAACAGUCAAAAGAGGAUGUGUUUCCGAACCAGGAUAGAGAUGUGGAUUAUGGGUCAAUGAACUCUGGCUCUCCAUAUCCAGAAACUCAAGCUGCAGUGCAUCAGGACUCAGUGGGAAGCUCACCUCCCUUGACUCCAUCAGGGACCCUUGAAAGAGGUGACAAUGUCUUUGAAGAUCAAUCAGACAGUAAAAAAGGCAAACAGGCAAAGACUAAGAAACAGAAAGGGCCUCCAAAGAACCCGUAUGCUGAUACACCGACCGUGGUGGAAGGGGCUCCCAAGAGGAGCUUGUUCUCCAGGAAGAGCUCAAAAAAAGCGGCAGAUGACAAAGAACUAAAGAAAAAAGAGAAACAGCUAGAAAAGGAAAAAGAGAAAGAGAAGGAAAGACAAAAGAAGGAGCAGAAAGAAAAAGAAAAGAAAGAAAAUGAAAUGAGGAAAAAAUUUAAGGUAAUUAUUAUUAUUAUUUGCUUUUGCCGUACAUUUCAAUUUCUCGCUAACAGUCCUUUUUGA